AUUGAACGCUGGCGGCAGGCCUAACACAUGCAAGUCGAGCUGAGCGUCGGACGGGUGUGUAAUGCCUAGUAAUCUGCCUGGUAGUGGGGGAUAACGUCCGGAAACGGGCGCUAAUACCGCAUUCUAUCAGAUGAGACUAGUUCGGCUGAGCUAGUUGGUGGGGUAAAGGCCUCCCAAGGCGACGAUCCGUAACUGGUCUGUGAGGAUGAUCAGUCACACUGGAACUGAGACACGGUCCAGACUCCUACGGGAGGCAGCAGUGGGGAAUAUUGGACAAUGGGCGAAAGCCUGAUCCAGCCAUGCCGCGUGUGUGAAGAAGGGCUUCGGAUUGGAAAGCACUUUAAGUUGGGAGGCGUUACCAACAGAAUAAGCACCGGCUAACUUCGUGCCAGCAGCCGCGGUAAUUC
rnacentral:rRNA from 1 species